rnacentral:lncRNA from 1 species
UUUGUUAGUAGCUUACCUAUGAUCAUCGUUUGUACUUGAUGACUAGUAAUGUAAAGCAAGAAAUGUAAAGUUUGUUUUGAGCUAACGUGAUGUAAGAAAGAAAUGAUGAAAAGCUAUGUAUGUGACAAAAGAAUAAAAAAUGUAAUGGUUGAAUGCUAUGUAUAUGAUCAAAAGUGAAUCAUAGUACUUAUAGUUGUUUAGCUUCCUUUCUUUCACUAUUGGUUACUGUUUACCCUCGUGUAAGCCGUAUUUGUAUGUUUCCG